UGGGGAAUUUUGCACAAUGGGGGCAACCCUGAUGCAGCGACGCCGCGUGAUUUAGAAGGCCUUCGGGUUGUAAAAAUCUUUUGUAUAGGAAGAAAAUGACAGUACUAUACGAAUAAGGUCCGGCUAAUUACGUGCCAGCAGCCGCGGUAAUACGUAAGGACCGAGCGUUGUCCGGAAUCAUUGGGCGUAAAGGGUACGUAGGCGGUUAAAAAAGUUAGAAGUGAAAGGCUAUAGCUCAACUAUAGUAAGCUUUUAAAACUGUUUAACUUGAGAGAUGGAAGGGAAAGAGGAAUUCCUAGUGUAGCGGUGAAAUGCGGAGAUAUUAGGAGGAAUACCGGUGGCGAAGGCGACUUUCUGGCCAUUAUCUGACGCUGAGGGACGAAAGCGUGGGUAGCAAACAGG
rnacentral:rRNA from 1 species